rnacentral:sRNA from 1 species
CCAAACGUCAUCUGGGGAGUAGCCAGCCACGGACAUUCCGUGGGCCGCGCGUCAACAUAUUUGGUGGAGACAUCAUGGUGCGCGGGACAGGAUCGAUACGGUUCUGUCUGUCGAGACCAAUGGCAUCGGCUUUCCGUCCCGGUCGGGCGGGAGGGCCGGUGGCAUUGCGUUUUCUUCUGCCCGACCCU